rnacentral:rRNA from 1 species
AGGACGAACGCUGGCGGCGUGCUUAACACAUGCAAGUCGCGCGAGGCCUCCGCUUCGGUGGGGUGCCCUAGCGGCGAACGGGUGAGUAACACGUGGGCAACCUGCCCUCAGCUCUGGGAUAACUCCGGGAAAUCGGAGCUAAUACCGGAUAUGACUGCCGACCGCAUGGUCUGGUGGUGGAAAGAUUUAUCGGCUGGGGGAUGGGCCCGCGGCCUAUCAGCUUGUUGGUGGGGUCACGGCCCACCAAGGCGACGACGGGUAGCCGGCCUGAGAGGGUGACCGGCCACACUGGGACUGAGACACGGCCCAGACUCCUACGGGAGGCAGCAGUGGGAAUAUUGCGCAAUGGGCGAAGCCUGACGCAGCGACGCCGCGUGAGGAUGACGGCUUCGGGUUGUAAACCUCUUUCAGCGAGGACGAAGCGGAAGUGACGGUACCUGACAGAAGAAGCGACCGGCAACUACGUGCCAGCAGCCGC